UAGAGAGCUCCUAAUACCUGCAUGUGAAUACUGAAAUUUAACGGCAUACACUUUAAUUUUUGUCUUAAAAUAUUUGACUUGAAGUACAGUUUAAUCUAAAAAAGAAUGUACUUUUUGAAACAUCUCGCUGAAGUGGCAUUGUUGGAAUGUCGACACGCUGAAAACCUCUUCAAGCCUAACACGCGGUAUUCACAGAAGGCCACGUCGAUUAGCAAACAACAGCAAGUCCUCCCGAACACCCCCACCAAUACAUGGAAAAACACGUCAACCCGGAGAAACCUGAAGGAUCUAUUUGAGCAAACUAAUCCCGUGUUGCAGAAAGUCGUGGCAGAAGGAUUUGGAUUUGACAACAGGAACACAUUUGAAAUUGAACGAACCCAUUGCAGCUCAACCAUGCCUGGCGAGAAUGGGGCCCCACCCCGAGAACGGUUCUCCUGCGCAUCCAACGAUCUACAACCGGGAACAAGGUUUCCCCUACAAGGAAAAUAAGAAGUCCAGUUCCCCAUGAUGCAGGUAGAACGUACAAUAUCCCAGUGUGCAUCUGGCUCCGUCAGACCCACCCCCAGAGCCGGCUGCGGUGCAACGCGUCCCUCUGUCUCCAUGGUGAUCGACCCCAGUGCCCCCGUGCUGCCUUACCAACGACAGUGUUACAACGUGGUUUUGUUUACUUGUUUGUUUUGAUAGUGCUCGGUGAAUGCUUUUUAUGCAUUUCUGUGUAGCACAAAUUAGGGACCCGUGAUAUAAUUCCGUUACCGUAAUUCUGUUACCGCGCGUAAAUCCACUUCACUGACUGUAGUUCAAACUCAAGGUGCCAUAUCAUAGUUGACAUAUACCCCAUUCUUUCUGCAGACCUCUUUCACUUUGAAUUGGGAGCAGAUAUUUAAGUGUUAAAGGGUUUUUGGAAAACUUAGUUGCAUAAAAACAUGGCAUUCUGUUUACUGUAAUUCUGUUACCAAAGUUUUCAUCUGCACAGUUCUUCCACUAAAUUCGUUUUUGUAACAUGUUUAGGGAAAAUUGUUAAACGUAGUUUUCAUGUGUAGAAUUGUAUGGUUUGUUAAUCUUUGAAAUCAAUUGAUUAUUUUAAUCAGCUGUGUAGUGCUAGGGCAAAACUAAAAAGGCGCACCCAGGGGAUCCCCAGGACAGAGUUUGGGAAACACUGAUCUAAUAUUAUCUUACAUUUGUUUUACUGUUUCAUUUUCUAAUCCAUUCAUGAGAUUUAAUAUUAGAAACUGAGUUUCAAUUACACAUUUUUCUACCCAAUCAAAUGUUUAUGUAGUUUUUCAAAAUUCUAUAAUUUACCUUGUUGCCACACACACACACACACACGCACACACACACACACACACACACACACACACACACACACACACACACACACACACACACACACACACACACACACACACACACA